CGGAAUGAAGCGCAUCCUGGUUGCGCACAUCGCUGGGGGUGAGGUGGUCGUCGGUUCAAAUCCGACCAUCCCGA
rnacentral:tRNA from 1 species